GACGAACCGUGCGAACGUUGUUCGGAUUCACUGGGCUUAAAGGGCGCGUAGGCGGUCGACCAAGUCUGGGGUGAAAUCUUUCGGCUUAACCGGAAAAGUGCCCCCGAUACUGGCCGGCUAGAGGGAGAUAGGGGCAUGUGGAACUUCCGGUGUAGCGGUGAAAUGCGUAGAGAUCUGGAAGAACACCAAAGGCGAAGGCAGCAUCCUGGCUCGUAGCUGACGCUGAUGUGCGAAAGCUAGGGGAGCGAACGGG
rnacentral:rRNA from 1 species